CAGAUGGCAUCAUUGUGAGAUGUUUAU
rnacentral:piRNA from 1 species